AUUUUGUUCUAUCAUCCGUGUUCGUCACAGUAUGUUUUUCGAUGCAAGUUAAUCGAUAAUAUUUUCAUAUUUACAUGUUUUGUCAUCACUAAUUCGUUUUUAGAAAUAAAUAAAAAUCAUAUCGUUCAAUUGUCAGUUGCUAAAAUGACAACAAACACAAAUAUUGACGAAAACUUUGAAACUCCGGAUUUCGACGAAGAUGAGCUUGGCGAGGAGCAAUUUGUCUCGACUACGGCUGGAAGGAAAAGGCUGUUCAGCAAGGAGCUUCGAUGUAUGAUGUAUGGAUUUGGUGAUGAUAAGAAUCCAUAUACUGAGAGUGUGGAUUUAUUAGAAGAUAUUGUUAUUGAAUUUAUAACGGAAAUGACCCACAAAGCAAUGGAGAUCGGACGUACUGGGCGAGUACAAGUGGAGGAUAUUAUAUUUUUAGUUAGGAAGGAUCAAAGAAAAUAUGCACGUGUCAAAGACUUAUUGACAAUGAAUGAAGAAUUAAAGAAAGCCAGAAAAGCUUUUGAUGAAAUUAAAUACGUCGGUAAUGAGGCAAAAAUCAAAUGACAAAAGGCUAAAUAAAAAAUGGUUUUCAUGUAAUUAUUUUAUUUUCAAUUUAUGUAUACUUGUAUGAAUAGAAACAAAAUAUUUUAAUAGCAAUGACUUUUAAUCAAAGUAGUCUUCAAUAUCGAUAUCCGGAUUAAGAAUGUCAUCUCCAUAUGGGGCAGAACUUUUAAGGUAUCUCAUUGAUGUCUCUACUGGAAUAAUUUGUGUUCGGUCAUCAUGGCGCUUUUUUAUUUCUUCAGCAGUAAGAUUAUUGGAUUCAGAAGCACUAACGUUUUCUUCCGGCUUUGCAUCACACCUUAAAAUUGCACCUGUAUGAAAACAUGUAAGCCGUUGAGGAAAGGAAGCGCGAUUAACAACAGAAAACUUUUCGUUAGUAAGAUUUCUAGAUAUUGUCCGUAAAAUUGUAAUCAUUUUACUUUAUACCGAUGUAAAAAACUUCUUUACCGUUCCUAACCAAAUAUUAAAUAAUAUACUAUUUAGUGAUGUUCCAAUACCGCACGGUCUUGCUUUUAAAGAAGUUAAUAUAAUAUCAU